GAUGAACGCUAGCGGCAGGCCUAAUACAUGCAAGUCGAGGGGUAGAGAGAGCUUGCUCUCUUGAGACCGGCGCACGGGUGCGUAACGCGUAUGCAACCUACCUUUAUCUGGGGGAUAGCCCGAAGAAAUUCGGAUUAACACCGCAUAAAAUCACAGAACGGCAUCGUUCAAUGAUCAAAUAUUCAUAGGAUAGAGAUGGGCAUGCGUGCCAUUAGUUAGUUGGCGGGGUAACGGCCCACCAAGACCGCGAUGGCUAGGGGAUCUGAGAGGACGGACCCCAACACUGGUACUGAGACACGGACCAGACUCCUACGGGAGGCAGCAGUAAGGAAUAUUGGUCAAUGGAGGCAACUCUGAACCAGCCAUGCCGCGUGCAGGAAGACAGCCCUCUGGGUCGUAAACUGCUUUUAUUCGGGAAUAAACCUGCUUACGUGUAAGUAGCUGAAUGUACCGAAGGAAUAAGGAUCGGCUAACUCCGUGCCAGCCGCCGCGGUAACAC
rnacentral:rRNA from 1 species